rnacentral:tRNA from 1 species
GGAUAGCUCAGUCAGUAGAGCAUGCGAUUGUUAAUCUCAGGGUUGUGGGUUCGAGGUCCAUGUUGGGCA